CUCCAAAUUAGCCGUAUCUUGUUUCUUAUUCAUGCUACAUCAAUUUAAAUCUUUGAGCUAAGAGGACUAGAAGACAUGGAAUUAGUAUGCAAUGCGACCAAGGUGGUGGGCGCAUUGAAAAUGGUAAAGGAAAUAGAGCAUAAUCUACAUCAAUUUAAAUUGUUCUUGGACGCACAAUGAUUGUCAUGUAUUUCCCACUAUCAUUUAUCAGUAAAUUACCAAGCAAAUAACAUGGAUUAGAUUUAAGCAACUACCAUUUCCUAAUUAAUCACUUUUUUAAGAGUCGAUUUUUUUUUUUGACAAAAAGAAAAAUCGACUCUUAAAA
rnacentral:misc_RNA from 1 species